GCAGGUCUUGCCUGGAAAAUAACUGCAUGAGAAUUUAUACAACCUGCCAACCUAGCUGGUCCUCUGUGAAAAAUAAGAUUGAACGGUUUUUCAGGAAGAUAUAUCAAUUUCUAUUUCCUUUCCAUGAAGAUAAUGAAAAAGAUCUCCCCAUCAGUGAAAAGCUCAUUGAGGAAGAUGCACAAUUGACCCAAAUGGAGGAUGUGUUCAGCCAGUUGACUGUGGAUGUGAAUUCUCUCUUUAACAGGAGUUUUAACGUCUUCAGACAGAUGCAGCAAGAGUUUGACCAGACUUUUCAAUCACAUUUCAUAUCAGAUACAGACCUAACUGAGCCUUACUUUUUUCCAGCUUUCUCUAAAGAGCCGAUGACAAAAGCAGAUCUUGAGCAAUGUUGGGACAUUCCCAACUUCUUCCAGCUGUUUUGUAAUUUCAGUGUCUCUAUUUAUGAAAGUGUCAGUGAAACAAUUACUAAGACGCUGAAGGCAAUAGAAGAUUUACCAAAACAAGACAAAGGCAAGUAUUAAAAGAUUACUUUUACUUAGAGGUUUACACUAAA
rnacentral:sRNA from 1 species